GUGGCGGACGGGUGAGUAACGCGUAAAGAACUUGCCUUACAGACUGGGACAACAUUUGGAAACGAAUGCUAAUACCGGAUAUUAUGACUGAGUCGCAUGAUUUGGUUAUGAAAGCUAUAUGCGCUGUGAGAGAGCUUUGCGUCCCAUUAGUUAGUUGGUGAGGUAACGGCUCACCAAGACGAUGAUGGGUAGCCGGCCUGAGAGGGUGAACGGCCACAAGGGGACUGAGACACGGCCCUUACUCCUACGGGAGGCAGCAGUGGGGAAUAUUGGACAAUGGACCAAAAGUCUGAUCCAGCAAUUCUGUGUGCACGAUGAAGUUUUUCGGAAUGUAAAGUGCUUUCAGUUGGGAAGAAGUCAGUGACGGUACCAACAGAAGAAGCGACGGCUAAAUACGUGCCAGCAGCCGCGGUAAUACGUAUGUCGCAAGCGUUAUCCGGAUUUUAUUGGGCGUAAAGCGCGUCUAGGCGGUUUUAGUAAGUCUGAUGUGAAAAUGCGGGGCUCAACCCCGUAUUGCGUUGGAAACUGCUAAACUAGAGUACUGGAGAGGUAGGCGGAACUACAAGUGUAGAGGUGAAAUUCGUAGAUAUUUGUAGGAAUGCCGAUGGGGAAGCCAGCCUACUGGACAGAUACUGACGCUAAAGCGCGAAAGCGUGGGUAGCAAACAGGAUUAGAUACCCUGGUAGUCCACGCCGUAAACGAUGAUUACUAGGUGUUGGGGGUCGAACCUCAGCGCCCAAGCUAACGCGAUAAGUAAUCCGCCUGGGGAGUACGUACGCAAGUAUGAAACUCAAAGGAAUUGACGGGGACCCGCACAAGCGGUGGAGCAUGUGGUUUAAUUCGACGCAACGCGAGGAACCUUACCAGCGUUUGACAUCCCAAGAAGUUAACAGAGAUGUUUUCGUGCCUCUUUCGGAGGAACUUGGUGACAGGGUGGUGCAUGGCCUGUCGUCAGCUCGUGUCGUGAGAUGUUGGGUUAAGUCCCGCAACGAGCCCAACCCCUUUCGUAUGUUACCAUCAUUAAGUUGGGGACUCAUGCGAGACUGCCUGCGAUGAGCAGGAGGAAGGUGGGGAUGACGUCAAGUCAUCAUGCCCCUUAUACGCUGGGCUACACACGUGCUACAAUGGGUAGUACAGAGAGCUGCAAACCUGCGAGGGUAAGCUAAUCUCAUAAAACUAUUCUUAGUUCGGAUUGUACUCUGCAACUCGAGUACAUGAAGUUGGAAUCGCUAGUAAUCGCAAAUCAGCUAUGUUGCGGUGAAUACGUUCUCGGGUCUUGUACACACCGCCCGNCACACCACGAGAGUUGGUUGCACCCUGAAGUAACAGGCCUAACCGUAAGGAAGG
rnacentral:rRNA from 1 species